rnacentral:tRNA from 1 species
GACCGCAUGGCCUAGUGGUUAGGGUGUCCGCCUCUGGAGCGGGAGGACGCGGGUUCGAACCCGUCCGGGGACA